rnacentral:rRNA from 1 species
GGUCAAGUGAAUAAGUGCAUCAGGCGGAUGCCUUGGCGAUGAUAGGCGACGAAGGACGUGUAAGCCUGCGAAAAGCGCGGGGGAGCUGGCAAUAAAGCUAUGAUUCCGCGAUGUCCGAAUGGGGAAACCCACUGCAUUCUGUGCAGUAUCCUAAGUUGAAUACAUAGGCUUAGAGAAGCGAACCCGGAGAACUGAACCAUCUAAGUACCCGGAGGAAAAGAAAUCAACCGAGAUUCCGCAAGUAGUGGCGAGCGAACGCGGAGGAGCCUGUACGUAAUAACUGUCGAGAUAGAAGAACAAGCUGGGAAGCUUGACCAUAGCGGGUGACAGUCCCGUAUUCGAAAUCUCAACAGCGGUACUAAGCGUACGAAAAGUAGGGCGGGACACGUGAAAUCCUGUCUGAAUAUGGGGGGACCAUCCUCCAAGGCUAAAUACUCAUCAUCGACCGAUAGUGAACCAGUACCGUGAGGGAAAGGCGAAAAGAACCCCGGGAGGGGAGUGAAACAGAACCUGAAACCUGAUGCAUACAAACAGUGGGAGCGCCCUAGUGGUGUGACUGCGUACCUUUUGUAUAAUGGGUCAACGACUUACAUUCAGUAGCGAGCUUAACCGGAUAGGGGAGGCGUAGGGAAACCGAGUCUUAAUAGGGCGAUGAGUUGCUGGGUGUAGACCCGAAACCGAGUGAUCUAUCCAUGGCCAGGUUGAAGGUGCCGUAACAGGUACUGGAGGACCGAACCCACGCAUGUUGCAAAAUGCGGGGAUGAGCUGUGGGUAGGGGUGAAAGGCUAAACAAACUCGGAGAUAGCUGGUUCUCCCCGAAAACUAUUUAGGUAGUGCCUCGAGCAAGACACUGAUGGGGGUAAAGCACUGUUAUGGCUAGGGGGUUAUUGCAACUUACCAACCCAUGGCAAACUCAGAAUACCAUCAAGUGGUUCCUCGGGAGACAGACAGCGGGUGCUAACGUCCGUUGUCAAGAGGGAAACAACCCAGACCGCCGGCUAAGGUCCCAAAUGAUAGAUUAAGUGGUAAACGAAGUGGGAAGGCACAGACAGCCAGGAUGUUGGCUUAGAAGCAGCCAUCAUUUAAAGAAAGCGUAAUAGCUCACUGGUCGAGUCGUCCUGCGCGGAAGAUGUAACGGGGCUCAAAUCUAUAACCGAAGCUGCGGAUGCCGGUUUACCGGCAUGGUAGGGGAGCGUUCUGUAGGCUGAUGAAGGUGCAUUGUAAAGUGUGCUGGAGGUAUCAGAAGUGCGAAUGUUGACAUGAGUAGCGAUAAAGCGGGUGAAAAGCCCGCUCGCCGAAAGCCCAAGGUUUCCUACGCAACGUUCAUCGGCGUAGGGUGAGUCGGCCCCUAAGGCGAGGCAGAAAUGCGUAGUCGAUGGGAAACAGGUUAAUAUUCCUGUACUUGAUUCAAAUGCGAUGUGGGGACGGAGAAGGUUAGGUUGGCAAGCUGUUGGAAUAGCUUGUUUAAGCCGGUAGGUGGAAGACUUAGGCAAAUCCGGGUUUUCUUAACACCGAGAAGUGAUGACGAGUGUCUACGGACACGAAGCAACCGAUACCACGCUUCCAGGAAAAGCCACUAAGCUUCAGUUUGAAUCGAACCGUACCGCAAACCGACACAGGUGGGCAGGAUGAGAAUUCUAAGGCGCUUGAGAGAACUCGGGAGAAGGAACUCGGCAAAUUGAUACCGUAACUUCGGGAGAAGGUAUGCCCUCUAAGGUUAAGGACUUGCUCCGUAAGCCCCGGAGGGUCGCAGAGAAUAGGUGGCUGCGACUGUUUAUUAAAAACACAGCACUCUGCCAACACGAAAGUGGACGUAUAGGGUGUGACGCCUGCCCGGUGCCGGAAGGUUAAUUGAAGAUGUGCAAGCAUCGGAUCGAAGCCCCGGUAAACGGCGGCCGUAACUAUAACGGUCCUAAGGUAGCGAAAUUCCUUGUCGGGUAAGUUCCGACCCGCACGAAUGGCGUAACGAUGGCCACACUGUCUCCUCCCGAGACUCAGCGAAGUUGAAGUGGUUGUGAAGAUGCAAUCUACCCGCUGCUAGACGGAAAGACCCCGUGAACCUUUACUGUAGCUUUGCAUUGGACUUUGAAGUCACUUGUGUAGGAUAGGUGGGAGGCUUGGAAGCAGAGACGCCAGUCUCUGUGGAGUCGUCCUUGAAAUACCACCCUGGUGUCUUUGAGGUUCUAACCCAGACCCGUCAUCCGGGUCGGGGACCGUGCAUGGUAGGCAGUUUGACUGGGGCGGUCUCCUCCCAAAGCGUAACGGAGGAGUUCGAAGGUUACCUAGGUCCGGUCGGAAAUCGGACUGAUAGUGCAAUGGCAAAAGGUAGCUUAACUGCGAGACCGACAAGUCGGGCAGGUGCGAAAGCAGGACAUAGUGAUCCGGUGGUUCUGUAUGGAAGGGCCAUCGCUCAACGGAUAAAAGGUACUCCGGGGAUAACAGGCUGAUUCCGCCCAAGAGUUCAUAUCGACGGCGGAGUUUGGCACCUCGAUGUCGGCUCAUCACAUCCUGGGGCUGUAGUCGGUCCCAAGGGUAUGGCUGUUCGCCAUUUAAAGUGGUACGUGAGCUGGGUUUAAAACGUCGUGAGACAGUUUGGUCCCUAUCUGCAGUGGGCGUUGGAAGUUUGACGGGGGCUGCUCCUAGUACGAGAGGACCGGAGUGGACGAACCUCUGGUGUACCGGUUGUAACGCCAGUUGCAUAGCCGGGUAGCUAAGUUCGGAAGAGAUAAGCGCUGAAAGCAUCUAAGCGCGAAACUCGCCUGAAGAUGAGACUUCCCUUGCGGUUUAACCGCACUAAAGGGUCGUUCGAGACCAGGACGUUGAUAGGUGGGGUGUGGAAGCGCGGUAACGCGUGAAGCUAACCCAUACUAAUUGCCCGUGAGGCUUGACUCU